AGGCUGCAGUUAAGAGUAUUUGGCAAUGAACGAAAGUUUGACCAAGUUAAUUUACGUUUAGGAAGAAGGUGUAUUAACUGUAAACUAAUAGAAACUAAUAAAAAAAUGAUUAAAAUUAGUGUAAGGGCUGUCUAACCAGUUGUGCCAGCAGACGCGGUUAUACAACGAGCUCUAGUUUAUAUCAGUAUUACUAGAUUUUAAAGACCUGAAGGCUGCAUAUAAAGAUAAAAAAGUUGAAAGAC
rnacentral:rRNA from 1 species